rnacentral:rRNA from 1 species
GAUGAACGCUGGCGGCGUGCCUAAUACAUGCAAGUCGAGCGAACAGACGAGGAGCUUGCUCCUCUGACGUUAGCGGCGGACGGGUGAGUAACACGUGGAUAACCUACCUAUAAGACUGGGAUAACUUCGGGAAACCGGAGCUAAUACCGGAUAACAUGUUGAACCGCAUGGUUUAUCAGUGAAAGACGGUCUUGCUGUCACUUAUAGAUGGAUCCGCGCCGCAUUAGCUAGUUGGUAAGGUAACGGCUUACCAAGGCAACGAUGCGUAGCCGACCUGAGAGGGUGAUCGGCGACACUGGAGCUGAGACACGGUCCAGACGCCUACGGGAGGCAGCAGUAGGGAAUCUUCCGCAAUGGGCGAGAGCCUGACGGAGCAACGCCGCGUGAGUGAAGAAGGUCUUCGGAUCGUAAAACUCUGUUAUUAGGGAAGAACAAAUGUGUAAGUAACUAUGCACGUCUUGACGGUACCUAAUCAGAAAGCCACGGCUAACUACGUG